UACGUAGGGGGCUAGCGUUGUCCGGAAUCAUUGGGCGUAAAGCGCGUGUAGGCGGCCCGAUAAGUCCGCUGUGAAAGUCGGGGGCUCAACCCUCGAAAGCCGGUGGAUACUGUCAGGCUAGAGUACGGAAGAGGCGAGUGGAAUUCCUGGUGUAGCGGUGAAAUGCGCAGAUAUCAGGAGGAACACCGGUGGCGAAGGCGGGUCUCUGGGCCGAUACUGACGCUGAGGAGCGAAAGCGUGGGGAGCAAACAGG
rnacentral:rRNA from 1 species